rnacentral:misc_RNA from 1 species
UCCGUGUUAACCACGGCAGUCUCUUUAGAGUGCCCAACUUAAUGAUGGCAACUAAAGACAGGGGUUGCGCUCGUUAAGGGACUUAACCCAACAUGUCACCACACGAGCUGACGACAGCCAUGCAGCACCUGUCUCUCUGUUGUAUUGCUACAAAAACCGUAUUUCUACGGCGGUCAGAGGAUGUCAAAUCUAGGUAAGGUUCUGCGCGUUGCUUCGAAUUAAACCACAUGAUCCACUGCUUGUGCGGGCCCCCGUCAAUUCCUUUGAGUUUUAGUCUUGCGACCGUACUUCCCAGGCGGAGAACUUAUUGCGUUAGCUCCGGCUCGGCAGGGGUCAAGACCCACCAAACCUAGUUCUCAUCGUUUACGGCGUGGACUAC